GCCUACGGGAGGCUGCAGUGGGGAAUAUUGGACAAUGGGGGGAACCCUGAUCCAGCCAUGCCGCGUGUGUGAAGAAGGCCCUCGGGUUGUAAAGCACUUUCAGUGAGGAAGAACGCCUGGUGGUUAAUACCCAUCAGGAAAGACAUCACUCACAGAAGAAGCACCGGCUAACUCCGUGCCAGCAGCCGCGGUAAUACGGAGGGUGCGAGCGUUAAUCGGAAUUACUGGGCGUAAAGCGCGCGUAGGUGGCUUGAUAAGCCGGUUGUGAAAGCCCCGGGCUCAACCUGGGAACGGCAUCCGGAACUGUCAAGCUAGAGUGCAGGAGAGGAAGGUAGAAUUCCCGGUGUAGCGGUGAAAUGCGUAGAGAUCGGGAGGAAUACCAGUGGCGAAGGCGGCCUUCUGGACUGACACUGACACUGAGGUGCGAAAGCGUGGGUAGCAAACAGGAUUAGAUACCCCAGUAGUC
rnacentral:rRNA from 1 species